rnacentral:lncRNA from 1 species
AAAACUACUGAAUUACUAGAAAGGAGACUGAGAAAGUAAACUCGACCACGAGGCGACCCGCUCCGUUAGGCGCAUAUUGCCAUUAGAGAAUUUGCGAAGAAGAAAAAUCAAGCUCCAGAUUGUUAAGGCGCCAUAAGACUGGUCCGAAGGACUAUCCAUUAGGGAAUUUGAGAAGCGCAUGAAAUUCAGAGGCUCAAUGUAAUAUGAGUUGAAUUGCGCCUCCGUCCGGAGUGCCAAAGAAAGGUCCA